rnacentral:rRNA from 2 species
CACUAUCGUUAACUGAAUACAUAGGUUAACGAGGCGAACCGGGGGAACUGAAACAUCUAAGUACCCCGAGGAAAAGAAAUCAACCGAGAUUCCCCCAGUAGCGGCGAGCGAACGGGGAGCAGCCCAGAGUCUGAAUCAGCUUGUGUGUUAGUGGAACGGUCUGGAAAGUCCGACGGUACAGGGUGAUAGUCCCGUACACCAAAAUGCACAGGUUGUGAACUCGAAGAGUAGGGCGGGACACGUGGUAUCCUGUCUGAAUAUGGGGGGACCAUCCUCCAAGGCUAAAUACUCCUGACUGACCGAUAGUGAACCAGUACCGUGAGGGAAAGGCGAAAAGAACCCCGGCGAGGGGAGUGAAAAAGAACCUGAAACCGUGUACGUACAAGCAGUGGGAGCACCUUCGGGUGUGACUGCGUACCUUUUGUAUAAUGGGUCAGCGACUUAUAUUCUGUAGCAAGGUUAACCGUAUAGGGGAGCCGCAGGGAAACCGAGUCUUAACUGGGCGUUAAGUUGCAGGGUAUAGACCCGAAACCCGGUGAUCUAGCCAUGGGCAGGUUGAAGGUUGGGUAACACUAACUGGAGGACCGAACCGACUAAUGUUGAAAAAUUAGCGGAUGACUUGUGGCUGGGGGUGAAAGGCCAAUCAAACCGGGAGAUAGCUGGUUCUCCCCGAAAGCUAUUUAGGUAGCGCCUCGUGAAUUCAUCUUCGGGGGUAGAGCACUGUUUCGGCUAGGGGGUCAUCCCGACUUACCAACCCGAUGCAAACUACGAAUACCGAAGAAUGUUAUCACGGGAGACACACGGCGGGUGCUAACGUCCGUCGUGAAGAGGGAAACAACCCAGACCGCCAGCUAAGGUCCCAAAGUCAUGGUUAAGUGGGAAACGAUGUGGGAAGGCACAGACAGCCAGGAUGUUGGCUUAGAAGCAGCCAUCAUUUAAAGAAAGCGUAAUAGCUCACUGGUCGAGUCGGCCUGCGCGGAAGAUGUAACGGGGCUAAACCAUGCACCGAAGCUGCGGCAGCGACACUAUGUGUUGUUGGGUAGGGGAGCGUUCUGUAAGCCUGCGAAGGUGNUGCUGGAGGUAUCAGAAGUGCGAAUGCUGACAUAAGUAACGAUAAAGCGGGUGAAAAGCCCGCUCGCCGGAAGACCAAGGGUUCCUGUCCAACGUUAAUCGGGGCAGGGUGAGUCGACCCCUAAGGCGAGGCCGAAAGGCGUAGUCGAUGGGAAACAGGUUAAUAUUCCUGUACUUGGUGUUACUGCGAAGGGGGGACGGAGAAGGCUAUGUUAGCCGGGCGACGGUUGUCCCGGUUUAAGCAUGUAGGCUGGUUAUCCAGGCAAAUCCGGAUAAUCAAGGCUGAGGUGUGAUGACGAGGCACUACGGUGCUGAAGUAACAAAUGCCCUGCUUCCAGGAAAAGCCUCUAAGCAUCAGGUAACAUCAAAUCGUACCCCAAACCGACACAGGUGGUCAGGUAGAGAAUACCAAGGCGCUUGAGAGAACUCGGGUGAAGGAACUAGGCAAAAUGGUGCCGUAACUUCGGGAGAAGGCACGCUGGUGUGUAGGUGAAGCCCCUGCGGGUGGAGCUGAGACCAGUCGAAGAUACCAGCUGGCUGCAACUGUUUAUUAAAAACACAGCACUGUGCAAACACGAAAGUGGACGUAUACGGUGUGACGCCUGCCCGGUGCCGGAAGGUUAAUUGAUGGGGUUAUCCGUAAGGAGAAGCUCUUGAUCGAAGCCCCGGUAAACGGCGGCCGUAACUAUAACGGUCCUAAGGUAGCGAAAUUCCUUGUCGGGUAAGUUCCGACCUGCACGAAUGGCGUAAUGAUGGCCAGGCUGUCUCCACCCGAGACUCAGUGAAAUUGAACUCGCUGUGAAGAUGCAGUGUACCCGCGGCAAGACGGAAAGACCCCGUGAACCUUUACUAUAGCUUGACACUGAACAUUGAGCCUUGAUGUGUAGGAUAGGUGGGAGGCUUUGAAGCGUGGACGCCAGUCUGCGUGGAGCCAACCUUGAAAUACCACCCUUUAAUGUUUGAUGUUCUAACGUUGGCCCCUUACCGGGGUUGCGGACAGUGUCUGGUGGGUAGUUUGACUGGGGCGGUCUCCUCCCAAAGCGUAACGGAGGAGCACGAAGGUUAGCUAAUCCUGGUCGGACAUCAGGAGGUUAGUGCAAUGGCAUAAGCUAGCUUGACUGCGAGCGUGACGGCGCGAGCAGGUGCGAAAGCAGGUCAUAGUGAUCCGGUGGUUCUGAAUGGAAGGGCCAUCGCUCAACGGAUAAAAGGUACUCCGGGGAUAACAGGCUGAUACCGCCCAAGAGUUCAUAUCGACGGCGGUGUUUGGCACCUCGAUGUCGGCUCAUCACAUCCUGGGGCUGAAGUAGGUCCCAAGGGUAUGGCUGUUCGCCAUUUAAAGUGGUACGCGAGCUGGGUUUAGAACGUCGUGAGACAGUUCGGUCCCUAUCUGCCGUGGGCGCUGGAGAAUUGAGGGGGGCUGCUCCUAGUACGAGAGGACCGGAGUGGACGCAUCACUGGUGUUCGGGUUGUCAUGCCAAUGGCACUGCCCGGUAGCUAAAUGCGGAAGAGAUAAGUGCUGAAAGCAUCUAAGCACGAAACUUGCCCCGAGAUGAGUUCUCCCUGAGACUUUAAGUCUCCUGAAGGAACGUUGAAGACGACGACGUUGAUAGGCCGGGUGUGUAAGCGCAGCGAUGCGUUGAGCUAACCGGUACUAAUGAACCGUGAGGCUUAACCUU